UCGUAACCAGGUUUCCGUAGGUGUACAUGCGGAAGAAUCAUUA
rnacentral:rRNA from 1 species